CUACGGGAGGCAGCAGUAGGGAAUCUUCCGCAAUGGACGAAAGUCUGACGGAGCAACGCCGCGUGAGCGAAGAAGGCCUUCGGGUCGUAAAGCUCUGUUGUUAGGGAAGAACAAGUAUCGGAGUAACUGCCGGUACCUUGACGGUACCUAACCAGAAAGCCACGGCUAACUACGUGCCAGCAGCCGCGGUAAUACGUAGGUGGCAAGCGUUGUCCGGAAUUAUUGGGCGUAAAGCGCGCGCAGGCGGUCCUUUAAGUCUGAUGUGAAAGCCCACGGCUCAACCGUGGAGGGUCAUUGGAAACUGGGGGACUUGAGUGCAGAAGAGGAGAGUGGAAUUCCACGUGUAGCGGUGAAAUGCGUAGAGAUGUGGAGGAACACCAGUGGCGAAGGCGACUCUCUGGUCUGUAACUGACGCUGAGGCGCGAAAGCGUGGGGAGCAAACAGGAUUAGAUACCCCGGUAGG
rnacentral:rRNA from 1 species